rnacentral:rRNA from 1 species
AAUGAACGUUGGCGGCGUGGAUUAGGCAUGCAAGUCGUACGAGAAUCGUAGCAAUACGAGGAAAGUGGCGGAAGGGAGAGGAUUACGUGGGAAUCUACCCUCAGAACUGGGAUAGCGGCGGGAAACUGCCGGUAAUACCAGAUAAUGUCUGUGGACCAAAGGUGUGAUUCCGUCUGGGGAUGAGCCCACGUCCUAUUAGCUAGUUGGCAGGGUAAUGGCCUACCAAGGCAAUGAUGGGUAGCGGGUGUGAGAGCAUGACCCGCCUCACUGGGACUGAGAACUGCCCAGACACCUACGGGUGGCUGCAGUCGAGAAUCUUCGGCAAUGAGCGCAAGCUUGACCGAGCGACGCCGCGGGCGGGAUGAAGGCCUUCGGGUUGUAAACCGCUGUCGUAGGGGAGCAAGAGAUGAGGGUACUCCCUCUGAUUUGAGCGAUCCUAGGAGGAAGGACGGGCUAAGUUCGUGCCAGCAGCCGCCGUAACAC